UGUACUAAAGGGAGCACAUUGUUGAGAAGGACCGGUUGCAAAUUUCCAAAAAGGAGAGUAAAAUAAUUAAUGAGUCAAGGUCUCAGGAGAGACAGAAGGAUGACUUACAACUUAAGUGUCUCCCUUUGUGGGAGGAAUCCCAGCUAUAGCCUAGUGGACCAUUCACCCAGGGAUCUUCAAUCAUUCGUUCAACCCUAACAUUUAUAUGCGCACCAGCUACAUGCUAGGCAGUGCGUCAGGCAUUAAAGAUACAAGGACGAAUACAGCAGACACGACCUCAGUCUUUGGACAGAGUUUACCUUCUAUUGAGGAAGAUAGAUGAUAAACAAGUAAUAAAUACAUAAACAAAGUAAUUUCAGCUAGCUAUAAAUGCUAUGAAAAAAUAAUAGUGUUAUAUAAUAAAGAGCGACUGGGAAAUCUAUUUCACAUGGAGUGUUAAGUGAAGGACUUUUUGAAGAAGCGACAUUUGAGCUGUUACCUGUAUGAUACGAGACCAACAAUGUAACAGGCUGAGGGGAGAGCAUUCCAGGCAAAGGGAAAAGCAAAAACACAGCCUUGGAGUGGAAUGGAGUUUUAUUCUGUUUGCCGACCAGUAAGAAGGUCACGUGGCUGGAGCUGAGUAAGCAAGGGGAAUAAUGGUGGGAGAAAUUACGUGGAGGAGGUAGUCAGGGGCUAGAUCAUGUAUAUAUUGCCAUGCAGGCCAUGGUAAGGACUUUGGAUUUUAUUCUGAGUACCAUGGGAAGCCACUGAAAAACCUUGCCUAAGAUAAUGGGUUUCUGUUUUGCCUAAGGCAAAUUAACUUUUUACUGAAGUAUACUAUACAUUACGGAAAAAGUACACAAAUCGUAAGCUUGAUGAAUUUUCAUGAUGUAAUCGCAUCCAUAUCACUAGCACCCAGGUCAAUAAACAGAUCAUUACCAGAACCCCAGAACCCUCCCUUAUGCCCCUUUCCAGUAACGCCCAUCCCCCAACCCACGGGUAACUACCAUCCUGACUUCUAUCACCAAAGAUUAGUUUUGCCUGUUUAUAUAAAACUUUAUAUAAUUGCAAUCACAAUAUGUAUUCAUUUUGUGUCUGGCUUCUUUCAUUUAAUAUUAUGUUUAGGAGUUUCAUCAUUGCUUAGCAAUAGUUUAUUGGUGCUAUAUGGAAGUUGAGUGCGUGAUCACACCACAGUUUAUCCAUUCUACUGUUGAUGGACAUAUGAGUAAUUUCCGGUUUGGAACUACUACAAACAGUGCUGUUAUGAACAUUCUAUUACAUGUCUUUUGGUGAACAAAUAUAUUCACUCCUGUUUGAAAUAAACUUAAGAAUGGAACUUAUGGAUCAUAA
ensembl:lncRNA novel transcript